rnacentral:rRNA from 1 species
UGCGUAGGCGGCGGGGUAAGUUUGAUGUGAAAUCCCGGGGCUCAACCCUGGAAUUGCAUUGAAUACUACCUUGCUAGAGUACCGGAGAGGAAACUGGAAUUUACGGUGUAGCAGUGAAAUGCGUAGAGAUCGUAAGGAAGACCAGUGGCGAAGGCGAGUUUCUGGCGGUAACUGACGCUGAGGCACGAAGGCCAGGGGAGCAAACG